CUACGGGCUGCUGCAGUGAGGAAUUUUGCGCAAUGGGGGAAACCCUGACGCAGCAACGCCGCGUGAGUGAAGAAGGCCCUUGGGUCGUAAAGCUCUGUCAAUGGGGAAGAAGUUACUUGGUAUUAAUAGUGCCUUGUAUUGACGGUACCCAUGAAGGAAGCACCGGCUAACUCCGUGCCAGCAGCCGCGGUAAUACGGGGGGUGCAAGCGUUAUUCGGAAUUAUUGGGCGUAAAGGGCACGCAGGCGGUCCUGUCAGUCAGAUGGGAAAGCCCGGGGCUCAACCCCGGACGUGCAUUUGAAACAGCAGGACUUGAGUACGGGAGAGGAAAGGGGAAUUCCUGGUGUAGAGGUGAAAUUCGUAGAUAUCAGGAGGAACACCGGUGGCGAAGGCGCCUUUCUGGACCGAUACUGACGCUGAGGUGCGAAGGCGUGGGUAGCGAACGGGAUUAGAUACCCCAGUAGUC
rnacentral:rRNA from 1 species